rnacentral:rRNA from 2 species
UAGAUCUGAAAUCAACUGAGAUCACCCGCUGAACUUAA